GACCGGGCAGCGAGUGAAUGUCACCAGAAACCGAUUCGUUUGGCUUUCGAUUCCAAUAUUUGGUGACAUGACGGCGGCAACAGAUUGAAAGGGUGGCGGAGCUGGCUCUGUUUGCUUGGUAAGCCACAGUGACAGGCGUUUGCUCGGCGAACAUUUUGACAUGGUUUCUGGCCAAACCAACAGCAAACCAAACCAGACCCGAUCGUAUAGGCGGAGGAUGGGCCAGGACUCCAACAGAGCAGGCCAGGCCAGGACAGGACACGGGAGCUGAAUGCGUUAAGAGGCCUGACGUGGUCAACAUGACAGCUGCACUUUGUGGUGAUUUAUGUGUAUGACUGCGAAUGCCAGACCAAAGGCAUCUAUCGUCUGAAACUCUUUGA